GUAACUGCGAGUGAAGAGGGAAGAGCUCAUCAUUGGAAUCUGGCAGCGUUGCGCUGUCCGAGUUGUAGAUGAGAAGAGUAGGCCAUCUGGGCUGCAUGGUGUCCAAGUACAAUAGGCCGUCAGUGGGACAUCAUAGAGGGUGACAAUCCCGUCCUUGACACCAAUGUACGAGUCCUUUACGAUGCCUAUCUCGGAGAGUCGAGCAGUUUGGGAUUUGCUGCUUAAACAUGGGAGGUAGAUUCCUUCCAAAGCUAAAUACAGGCAAGAGACCGAUAGAGAACAAGUACCGCAAGGGAAAGAUGAAAUAGAACUCUGUGAAGGGAGUCAAAAGACGUGAAAUUGUUGCGAGAGAAGCGAUUCAAGUCAGCGUAGCUGGGCCCAUCAAGCCUCGCGCUUUGGACCAGCUUUGCCAGCGGUCUUGUCCCUAGAGACUUGACUAAGGUGCCCUGCCCGGUCUAACGGGCAGACCUCCCCUGGAGGCCAGUGGCAUGGCUGGUGGAAUGGCUUGCAAUCGACCCGUCUUGAAACACGGACCAAGGAGUCUAACAUGCAUGCGAGUAUAAGGGUGGCAAACCCGUAUGCGCAAAGAAAGUGAUAGCCUUUUAUGGCCGAGAAUGACCUGAUGACCAGACAAGCAAUAUUAUGUCCCUCGUACGGUCAUUGCCCAAGUCCCAUGGUCAGAUCCCAUGGACAUGGAGUUGGAGCGUGCAUGCUAGGACCCGAAAGAUGGUGAACUAUGCCUGGACAAAGCGAAGCCAAAGGAAACUCUGGUGGAGGCUUGUAGCGAUUCUGACGUGCAAAUCGAUCGUCUGAUCUGGGUAUAGG
rnacentral:rRNA from 1 species